AUCAACAUUACUUUCAUGUUUAUUGGCCUCUUGGGUUUUUAAAGUGUGUCCUUUUGUUUCUCUUCCAUUCAGAGUGCGAAAUGGACUGAGUGGUCCUAAUGUCUACCUUCCCCAUUUUACAGAUGAGGAGCGAGGAGUUAAAGAAAUGUCGUGACUACUAUAGCUCAAAGUCCCCAACCUGACAAAAACCAGGUUCCCAGGCCUCUGGUCCUUUUAUAUCCAACAGUCAACUCCUGCAUUUGAAGGAAGGACCUUUGUGGUGGGAUUCAGGGUCCAGGGCUGGAGUUCCCAGAAGAGUUUUACUAGAGUGUGGAGGAUUCUAUUAACAACCUCAAGCUGUUGUCUCCAUUAAGACCUGCUUCUGGAAAGCUAC
ensembl:lncRNA